UACAGAGGUCCCAAGCGUUGUUCGGAUUCAUUGGGCGUAAAGGGUGCGUAGGCGGCGCGGUAAGUCGGGUGUGAAAUCUCGGAGCUUAACUCCGAAACUGCAUUUGAUACUGCCGUGCUUGAGGACUGGAGAGGAGACUGGAAUUUACGGUGUAGCGGUGAAAUGCGUAGAUAUCGUAAGGAAGACCAGUGGCGAAGGCGGGUCUCUGGACAGUUCCUGACGCUGAGGCGCGAAAGCUAGGGGAGCAAACAGG
rnacentral:rRNA from 1 species